UUCCGAUUCUGUGUCUCCCUCUCUCUCUGCCCCGUCCCCGUUCAUGCUCUGUCUCUGUCUCAAAAAUAAAUAAACAUUUAAAAAAAUGUUAAUCUCAUCUAAAAACAACCUCACAGACAUACCCACAAUGUUUCACCAAAUAUCUGAGCAUCUGUGGCCCAGUCAAGUUGGCAUAUAAAACUAAUCAUCACACCUUUGUAGUAGGUUCCAUGACCAUCCUGCUUUUUAGAUGAGGCAAAAGAGAGAGGUGAUGUAACUUCCUUGUCAUGUACGAUGGAUAAAUGGUAUAGACUCUGUUCUAACCCAGGUCUGACUACCCAAAGCAUGGUUCUUAAAAAAGAGAACAGGACUUAGAAUUUAGACCUUGAUUUUUUUAUGAGAAUUAAACUUUUUUAAAAAAGGAAUACAAAAGCACAUAUCACUGUGCUUGGCAUAUAAAUUCAUCAUAUAUGACUAACAUUAUUAGUAUUAGCAUUAGUAUUAUUUAUCUUAGAGAGAGAGAAAGCAGAGAGAAAAAGAGAGAGAGAGAGAGAGAGAGAGAGAGAGAGAGAGAGAGAGAGAAUCUUAAGUAGCCUCCACAUUAGCAUCAAGGCCAACAUGAGGCUCAAUCCCACGAACCUGGAAUCAUGAUCUGAGCUGAAAUCAAGAGGUAGAUACUCAACUGACUGAGCCACCAAGGGGCCUCUAUUAUUAAAAGAAUUAUUAUUACAAACAAACCUUGGUCCUCAGAAUACUAAGUAGUGAGAAUGCCAGAAUGUACUUUAAAUGAAGAUAUAUUUGACCAAAUGUUAUUCUCUAUUCUUUUCUUUGGUUUUGUGAUAUAAAGAUAAAAAAUUGUAAAUCACUAGAUAGUUAAUUUCUCCAACAUAUCCUCUUGCAAAAAUGAUAUUACCUUUGGCAGAGAUAUACUUUAUUCCUGCUGAUGCUGUUAGAAAAUGGCAAGGUCAACCAAAAUGAGAAAUUGACAGCGUCUCUGUCUUUCCAGUUUUUAAUAAGUAUUGUCAAAAGAAAUAAUAAUCAGAUUUGAACUUGUUUGUCCUUGAUGUGCCUUUUUUAAAAGGCCUCCUGGAAAAUCUAAUGUAAGAUCAAAAGCAGCUGGGAAAGAGUAGAAAUCACUUGAACAUACUUCCUUUCUUUAUUCUAUGGGAUAAAAAUAAAAUACUCACUUUCAAUGACUCAGGCACUGGGGGAUUUGCCUCUUUCUUUUCCUAGGGUGUGGGGAAUGUUGGUAAAGGGAGCUCUAAGGAAGUAAUAAACCAGAUUUUCCAAAAUGUAAAUAAAUAUUACCCUUCUAGGGAAUAAAUGGUUUUUAACGACUUUGUCCCCCAGACUCCUCGUCUCAUUUCUAGGGCAAAACUGUGAAAUUAGUUAUAUUUUUUUUCCUUCUUUUUCUUCUGCCACGAAACCUCCCAUCCUUCAUCCAAAAUCCUUGUGUUCUUUCAUCUCCACAUUUUGUGUUCUCAGCAGAGGAUGUGAUAAACUCACAGCCAUUAAGAUACAAUGACUUCUAAGAAUUAUUGUGCUCUUUUUACCAAUCCCCUUUAGAAUUUAACCAGCUUUAUAACUUAAGAAGCUUUAAUUAUAGGCAUCAAUGAGAUUGAGGGGGCAUUUACUACAAUCAGAGGGACCUCUCUGGAGUUGCUGAAAUCACAACAUAGAGAGAACAGGCUCUCUCUGCUUUCCUAGACAUUAAGCGCAGCCUUGCUGUUUUCUUACCUUGUCUCUAACGUGGGCCCUAAUUCCAGCUAUGCUCAUCACAGUGCUAAUCUCCCUUACCUGAUUCCUACCAGUGCUCUCCUCAUUCUGUCUCUGUACGGUGUGUCAGUGCUGUUGUCUCCAUUCAGAAUGCCUUCUUCUCCCCUCUCGGGCAACCCAGGCCCCUUACUUCAAAUGAGCCCAGCUUAGUCAAAAUUCUCCAUUGAAGGUAUUAAAGUUUAACUGAGGAAAUAAACCAUUUUCUAAAAAAGUAACUAUGAAAAGGUACAAGGUAAUAUACAACGAGGAGCCAUGCUAGUGAUAGAUUCAUAAGUAAACAUCAUCCUGACUCCCAAGGAACUUAUCUUCUUCUGAGGGACACAGAUAAACAGAAAAGCAACACACAGGUAGGAAGAUACAGUAGCACAACAGAAAGGGGGCAUUAUGGGAGCAGAAAGGAGGUACCCAUCUGCUAGAGUGCAUUGUUGUCACCUGGGUAGCCCUGAGAAACUGCAUUAUCUAAGGAGUUGUGCCAAACAAUUGCCACAUGAUUUAGUGUCUCUGACUUUGCCAAGUAAUACUAUAUCACAGGGGGAAAAAAAGAGAAACAUUUGAGUGUAGUAGGACUAAUGAACACACAAAUUGGAAGGAAUGUUUCCAGCAAAGAGCAAUAGUCAGACCAUGAGCACCAUUAGAUUUUGGUAGCUCUUCCUCCCAUUGUCUCACACUGAAGGAAGGGGCUGCUGAGUCGCUUCCCUGAUCACACGCAUCCAGCUUCCUUCCUCCUGCUGUGGAAAGAUGCUCACUGCAAAUUCUCUCACACUAGUGAGCCAGAUCCUCCCAACCAUAAAACAAGCUGUGUUGGGCACAUGUUUGCCUGUAGUAACAACCAUGUGAAGGGUGUUUAAACUCCUAAGGCAAUGAGAGAUUAUAGAGAACAGUGAUUAAGAACCAGCCUGCUUAAGUUGAGUCCAGGCUUCACCACUUACUAAUGGUUUGAUCGUGGGAAAGAGGCUUAAACUCUUGAUGCCUCUGUUUCCUAGUCUAUACAAUGGGAAGAAGAAUAAUAGCACUACCUCAUGGGACUGAUACGAGAAUUAAACAAGACCGUAAAGUUCUUCACAUUGUACGUGAAAUGUUUUAUGUUUCCUAGGGCUGCUUUAACAAAUCAGCACAAACUGCCUGGCUUAAAACAACAGAGAUUUAUUCUAUCACAGUUCUGGAAGCUAGAAGUCAGAAAUUAAUGUGUCAGCAGGGCUGUGCUCCCUCUGAAGGCUUUAGGGAAGAAUUGUUCAUUGCCUCUUGUCAUCUGAUGGUUGCUGGCAAUCCUUGGUGUGGCUUGGCUUGUGGACACGUCAUUUCAAUCUCUGUCUCUGCCAUAUUCCAUGUUGUUCUCCUUGUGUGUCUCUGUGUGUCUUCACACAGCCUUCUGAUAAAGAUACCAGCAAUUGGACUUAGGGUUCACCUUAGUCCAGUAUGACCUCAUCUUAAUUUAACUGAUUACAUCUGUGAAGACUAUAUUUCCAAAUAAAGUUACGUUCACAGGUUCCAGGUAGACUUGAAUUUUGGGAGAACAUUAUUCAACCCAGAAUACCUAGUAAGUAUGCAAUAAAUGUUAGGUAAAACACAUUCACCCAUUUUACCACACACACCCACAAACAUAAAACAUAAAACAUGUACUCACACACACUGAGGGGAUUCUGGGAAGAUGGUGGUUUUAAUAUGACCUUACUCAUACUCUUUAUUCUCAACUUUAGUCUCUAUUUCCGAACCAAGUAGUUGGGGGCUUUCCAGAAGGCUCUGAGGGGCAUGUACUUUUGGAGACAAUUGGUGCAGGAAUAUCUUCCCUCUGGUCAGUCCCAGGGGAAAAUCGAUACCAGGUUCCAUAGUUUCCCUGGAUCUGGAGAAGUUGAGGAGUAGCUAAAAAGAUGGGCUGAAUCCCCUCUAUUCCAGAGAAUGAAUAAGUGGGAGGAAAUUGGGUACAAAGAUGAUGAAUGGAGCCUCACAGCCUGGCUGCUAUAUACCCAAAAGAGCAGAGACCAAUGUGCCUUCUUCUACUUUCAGACCUUUGGCCAUGUAAGGUGCCAUAGCAGCUGCAUCUGAGCCCUAAUAAGAAGGGAGAAGAAAAGAAGGCACAUCAGGCACCAAGGUAGACAGAAAAGGACUGAGUAUGACUCUUGGAAAGAACUGCUAUUGAAAUAUAGCUGUUGGAGAAGAUAAAGGAUAACGGGAAUAAAACAAUGAAAAGAACACUCAAAGAUAUACAAGGAGAGCACAAAACAGACUAUCUGGAACUAAAACAUGCCUUAUAAAUGAAAACAGUCAGUAGAUGAAGAAGAGUAUUGCCCCAGUCAGGAGCUGUAUAUUGGUCUGAAAGAUUAAAUUUAUCAAGACACAGAGCAAAUUUUCACAGAGAUGGAAAUCAUGAUGGAUAAGAGAACAGACUUUGGGGAAAGAUUCAUGAAAAACCUAAUAUGAGAAUUAUAGGAAUUCCAGCUAAAGCAAAAGAAACAGACAUGAGAGAGCUGAAGGAAGCCCUGACUAUAGUCUGGAAGUGCAUAUCUGUGACUAUGCCCCACUAAAGAAAAUGCAUGAGAAAGGACACAAAGCAAGCAAAGGAACCCAGAGACUUCAACAUAAGAGAAGAUGAAAGAGAGUGUUUAGGAAAAAGGAGGCUUAACUAUAGCUAUAAAGGAGUCUUAUAGAUACAAUAGAGAGAACACGACGUGUAGCUUUUUGGCAAUACAGUAGUCCCUCCUUAUCUGUGACUUCAUCUUCUGCAGUUUCAGUUACACCUGGCCAGCCAUUGUCUGGAAGCAAAUGAUCCUCCUUCUGUCAUCAGAAGGUCAGUGGUAGCCUAAUGCAUUGUCAAGAUUCCUGCAUCAAGUGUCUCACUUCAUCUCAUCAUGUAGGCAUUUCAGCCUCUCACAUCAUCACAAGAAGGGAGGAGGGAAGCAAAUAAUACUGUGUAGCUUCCAUCUGGCAUUAAUUUCUCUGUGCUCCUCAUCAGAAUAUGAUGGAAGCUGGAGAGUCCUGAUGUGGCCCAUGGUCAUUGUCUGACUGCUGCUGUCCAUCACAGAGUCACAGCUAGUCUAGAAUGCAGCCCUUGUCCUGGAAGCCUGUAGGUGCUCUGCACACCAGGGAGGAAGCCAAGCAACAGCUGCUGAAGAAAAAUGGCUGUAAAAAGCGUGUAGCAGGGAAACACCCCAGUGAAGGUAAGCAGUGAAGACCUAUGGUCAGAAAUGGGACAGUGAGAGGCAACUGCUGAACAAGAAGGGUCUGAGAGUUCAAGAGAUGAGUCAAAGGAUGGGUUCUAGGAACCUAGAACAAGGGAGAGGAGGACUGGAAAGAUACCUGUGGAGGUCAGGUGUUCCUUCUGAUGCCACAAGGGAAUCAUACAGCUGAUAAACAAAACCCAUUUGAUUGAAAACAGUCAUGUUUGUUCUAGAUAGUAUUCUGUUCCAUCCCAAUCCAGAAUACUAAUUUGCUGGGUUUUAAUGGCCAAAGCAAUUUGUUAUUUAUGUAAGUAGUGUUAACAGAGAACAUUUAACUUUAAAAUCAGGUAAUAUAUGUGACAAUGUAACCAUUCUAGACCAUCUGCAAGUGGGAUAAUGGAUCAGAUCAGCCAGUUUUUAGUAGAUAUAUCCCAUGGGAUAAUAAAAAUCUAUGGGAUACUUGCUGUCCUAUUUCUCCUUCUGCACAACCCGUGCCUUACACAAGCACAGAAGUUUGAAUUCAUAUAUUAGGUGGGAAUCUGUGAAAUUCAUGACAUUGAAUUGUUCUGCUUUCUACCCAAGUCUGCAAUUGCUACAGAGAUUACUAGAUAAGGAAGGAGUGGGUCUGCCCUGUGGAUUCUUUGACAAAGUUGUUAUGGAUAGUCUUAUCCUUUAUAUUAGAUUUCUGAAUGCCCCUUGUAUGACAAUGGUCACGCUGGUAACAGUACUUUCUCCCCUCCUUCCUCUCUGCUCCUUUUCCCUCUUCCUUUCCCCUCAUUACCCUACCUGCUUUCUCUUCCUGCCAGUGUUCACCGUCUCUAACCUUUCUCAAUGUUGUGUAGGGAAAACCCUUUUCUUCAUUUCUUCUUUCCUUGCUUCCUGUACCUUUGGCUGACAGACUGGGUAGUUUUUAUUUGCUUGCUGGAAUUCAGGGUUUCUUGCCAUCCCAUGGCUCCCUCUUUCUGUUUUUAUUCCUUUGAUGGAAAGUGCAGCUCUUUAAAUCUUCAAGGAGUUGGACGAGCAGACACUAAAUUUCUCACCCCAUCCUAAGUGCAGCUUAGCCUGCCUUCACCCUUUUUUUGGGGAGAGGGAACUCCCUCUUUCCUUUGGUUUUUCCAUCCUGCCUAGGUUUUGGUGGUCUGUGGCUGGAUAUUUGGAGGAUUAGGAUAAGGGUACCAAGUUAGUUAUGUUUUGAGCCAUUUAGGAUCCUCAUUCUCAGAGUGAGGACAAGCAGCCUGGUUCAGCAGCCACAGUGCCCUGUUGAGGGAUAAAGCCAAGAGGUCUGUGAGAGGCCAGGAUGUGGGCAUCUGAAGAAUGACUCCAUCCAGCUGAGCCAGCAUUCUUGUUUGUAUAAGAAUCAACAAAAGCAAGAUAGAAAUAAUUUGAGAAAGACUGAGCAGGACUGUGAAAUAAAGAUAGAAAGCAAGAAUCUAUACAGAAUGAUUUAAAAAAAAGCUAUACAGAAUGAGAAAGAACUUUUGCUUUGAAGAAUUUUGUGAUGUUCCAUUUUUGAGCUAAAAAUGACCUUAACUGGACCUUAAUAAGAGAAGCUCCUGAUUCACAGACCUCAAGAUAAAGAAAGCUGUAAUUGCUCCAGAUGUAGGUGUGUUGCUCAAAGGAGCCCAAGCCUUAGCAGUCUGCAUAUAUAAAUAAGCUUCUAUUAAUAGUAAUCCCCAAAUCUUGUUGGUUGCCUGCUUAGCCUCCAUGAUGCAAAGUCCUGUGGCAUAUAGGCGAGUCCCAAAGUCUUACAUAGAACCAGGACCACUAUUGAUGUUGGCAGCUACUUGCUGCUGGCCUUGCUGACCGAGUUCCUUCCAGGUUACUGCAAUACUUUUGUAAGCAACUAUCUUUAUGGCAGUUGUACCAGUGUUGACAUGGAGGGCAGACAGGUUUUUCAUUCUGGCUCUAGUUAUACUCAGUCUUUAAGUGUGGCAAGAGGGAGGAACUUUCUGUUCUGACGUAAUUUCUGUGUGUGUGUGUGUGUGUGUGUGUGCGCGCGCGCGCAAGUGAGAGAGAGAGAGAGAGAGGUGUGUGUUGGGAUCUCACAAAACAUUGUGCAAGAAUGUUACAGGGUUUCAUGAAAUAGCUCAUGUACCAACAGUCUCCCCCCCUAAAUAGUGGGCUUGCCAGGGGGCAUGCUGCAUUCAGAUUCUCCUACCCUACUGCUUCAUGCCAUGCCAAGCCAGACUUCUUCCCAAAAGAGAGAUUCCCUCUGAGGGAGUUUGCCUUUCCCUUCACCACCUCUGCCCCAGCCCCAGGCAUGUCUAGUCCUUGCCACAGCUGUGGAAUGGGUUCAAACAGUUUUUUUCACUGCUGCUUAGCCUCUGUGAAAAACAGUGGGUACCAACAUAAACUUGGAAGAAUACUCAGACAUAUCUAGUGGCCUCAAACAAAAGGGCCAUUGGCCAUCAUAAUUAACAGCCUUGAGUUCCUUCAGAACUUGUUUUUAAAGUUUAUUUAUUUUGAAAGAGAGACAGUGCAAGUGGGGGAGGGGCAGAGAGAGAAGGAAAGAGAGAAAGUCCCAAGCAGGCUCUGAGCUGCCAGGGCAGAGCCUGACGUGGGGCUCAAACCUGUGAAACUGUGAGAUCAUGACCUGAUCUGAAACCAAGAGUCAGAUACUUAACUCACUGAGCCACCAAGGUGCCCCUCCUUCCAAAAAUGUCAAUCUAGUCGUCCCUACCCUUCAUCCCUGUGUUUCACUCAAUUACCUGAGUUCCAGAGAAAGGUUUUAAAAUCUAUUUUUUCCUAAUUUUGUCUUAUGACUAUUUGUCAGCUAGUCAGAAUAAGGCAAUGUUUACAGAGAAUAAGAUCGAUUUACAGGAUCUUAGCCUGUUGCUUAUUCUGUAUGGGUUAAAAAGACUUGCAUGGAAACCAGCCAUCCUUUGUAGCAGGUGUAUGAUAGAGAAAUGCACUCAAAUUUCCAAACUUAUAAAUGAUUUUUCUUAUAAAUUUAGACCUUGAUAAAGAAACUAUUUACAUAACUUCCAGCUAGUCUUCUAGAAUGCACAUGAAGAGAGUAAAUAUUCCCAAAGAAUGACAAUGUUUUUCUUUCCAAUCUUUGAUUUCUCCCUCUCUACCACCAGCUUACAAGUCUCCUCCUUCCUUAAGAACAAUACAAAACAAAAGACUCUUCUUUAUCUCCUUCAGGCUACUGUAACAGAAUAUCAGAGACUGAUAAGAUAGAUGGUUUAUAAAUGGCAGACAUUGAUUUCUCACAGUUCUGGAGGCUGGGAAGUCCAACAUCAAGGCCCUGGCAAAUUUGUCACCUGGUGAGACCCACUUCUUGUGACAGCUGUCUUCAUGUGGCAGAAGGGACUAGGGACUCUCUGGGUUUGCUUUUAUAGGGGCAGUAAUCCUAUUCAUGAAGACUCCACCCUCAUUACUAAUCACCUCCCAAGGCCCCACCUCCUAAUGGCCUCCCACUGGAGGCUCGGUUUCAAUGUAUGAAUUUAGGGGCCAGACAUUCAGUCCAUCACAGACUCUUAAGAGACUUUAACCAUGAUGGUUUUGUAGUCGCAGGUCCCGUUCCACUGCCUCUGCUGCUGAACUUCCAGACAGUGGCAUCAACACUCAUUGUUUCCACAUCACUUCCUAUUCUCUUGACAACCUCUUACAAUCUGAUUUCACCCUCACUGAUCUGUUGAAACUGCCAUGAAAGACCAAAAUGAUCUAAUUGUCAAAUCUCAUCCUCCACAGCUCCUGGCAGCACUGUGAACAUUGUGUCCUAUUUAAGACUCCUCUUUUGAUUUCCCUAAUGUUGUGCUCUACUGUAUUUUUCUCUAUAUCUCUGGCUCUGACCUUGUUUCAUUCUCUGGAUAUUUUCUUCCUUUUGUCCUUUAAGUAUAGGGUUUUAAAAAAUGAAAUAUUUUCUGCAUAUUAAACUGCAAAGACAGAAUACCCAAGUACCCAUCACCCCGUCUAAGAAAGAAAAUAUUACAGCUGUAGCUGAAAUCCCCUGUGAGUGCCUUCUUAAUUAUUUUCCCCUUUUUCCCCCCAAAGAGAUAACCAGUGUCCUGGACUUUGGGGGCAUCAUUCUCAUAUAUGCUUUAUACUGUUACAAAAAAUGUUUGUUAUCAUACUUCCUUGUCCAGUUGAGCAGUGUGUCUUUGAACAAAUCUAGGGAGGCACUGUUUACAAAGGUUAUGAUAGGGAAAGUGCUCCUUAAAAUUGUGCAGUGUACAUCCUGCACAGAGACAUGCAGGGCCUUCAUUGUUUUGCCUGUUUGGGAGCUUUUUAAUUUUUUUUUGAUGUUU